UACGGAGGGUGCAAGCGUUAUCCGGAUUCACUGGGUUUAAAGGGUGCGUAGGUGGAUCUGUAAGUCAGUGGUGAAAUCUCCAAGCUUAACUUGGAAAUUGCCGUUGAUACUAUAGAUCUUGAAUGCUGUGGAGGUGAGCGGAAUAUGUCAUGUAGCGGUGAAAUGCUUAGAUAUGACAUAGGACACCAAUUGCGAAGGCAGCUCACUACCCAGAUAUUGACACUGAGGCACGAAAGCGUGGGGAUCAAACAGG
rnacentral:rRNA from 1 species